GGUCGGGGCAGGGCACAGCGUGGUAGGUAUCAGGGUCCGCCACCCAGCCGACACCAGUACCUUCCUCAAUAUUAUUCAGGAGAAUGCUUCAACUGAGGUGCGCUGGAUCAUUGGGCUGCCAGAUGCCCACUCGGGAGGAUGGCUGCGCCACCAACAGGCCCACCGCAACACCAGCAGCCUCCUCCACAGGCACCAGAACCACAACACCAGCUCCCACCGAGUCAAGGUGCACUGCAAUGCCCCACCUUUUCAUGGGCACCCAGAAACCAGUACUACUCUGCCUAGGGGUGCCCAGGAGGAGCCGAUCAUAGGACCCAGUCAGAGCCCAUGAUGAACAUUGAGGUGAACGACCACACUGUUCCUAUGAUGGUGGACACUGGCGCUCGCUAUUCCACCCUCACUGAUCUCCCUGAGGGAGCACUACUGUCAGGUGACGGCGUCACACUCACCGGCUUCUCUGGGAAACCCAUGAUCGUACCUCUGACUAAUCUGCUUCCCACACGACUGGGAACCACCUGCUGUGAUCAUCAAUUUGUUCUACAAUCCUCCUGCCCAGUGAACCUCCUGGGAAGCGACUUAUUCAUCAAAGCCAAAGCCUCGAUCCUCUGCUCGCCAGAUGGACUGGAAAUAAUGUUUCCUUCAGGACAGAUGCUACAAGUGUCUGCCCCUCUGGGACAUGGAACUGACCUCUGUCACAUCCCAGAUGAACCAAACCCCGCUGUUCUUCACCAAGGAGCCAACAUCUAUUGGCUGCUCCUGCCUGAAGCUGAAACUCCUGGUGAACUCUCGGUACUUAAGGUGUUUCGCGACUGGUGGCCCUGGAUUUCUACGCUGCACUCCUACCACCCCCCGAUUGAUCCUCCGCAUUGUACUCUAUUCUAUGACAGGGUAGGCGAUGAAGUUUAUCAAGACGCCUUUCGAAAUGACUUGGCAGGGACCUGCCAUGUUGUCCAGUCUGACUUUGUUGUGGUUGGCCCACAGGGUGUCGCUUCAGCUGUCACACUCACACCUGAUACACUCAGUUGGUACAUGAUGUCAUCCACAGCCUACCCACACAUUUCACUUGCACUCAGUCCCAACCACCAAGCGAGAGAUUUAGACCCUAUGGUGAAAUGAGCAGUAGAGGCCACUGAUUGGGCUCCAACGGGAACCUCUGGUCUGCUCUACUCUGCAUCAACCGAAUUGUACAAAAUUCAGCAGUCUGCCACUGAUUCUGCGGUGGCAGAAGAAGAGUGGUUUACCCGCUCUUACGGUUGUGAAAAGUCUGACUCGGAUGGGGCUGCGGCGCUUCUGCAAUCCAUUCCUAACUCUCUGUGGUCACAAAGUCCGACAGAUGUUGGACUGUAUAAAAUUACACCUGUAGCUAUAACUGUUGACUAUUCACAUUCAUAUGCAUUCUGCAGUAUCCUCGCCCACAACAUGAAUGCUUAGGAAUUGCUGACACAAUCACAGGUCUCUUGUACUCAGGAGUCCUGGAACCCGCAUCUGACAAUGUGUGGAACACACCACUUCUACCAGUCUGUAAGUCGACACAUGAAUAUGGUACAUGACCUCCAACUUAGUAAUCAUGUGAUUAAAGACUGGACAAGGGUUGCAUAAUUUGAAUGCAAAACUAAAUUUUAUUCCUCUGGCCGACUCCGCUUUUUCUGCCGUAGAACAGGCUCUAGCCUAAGCUGCCUCAUUGGCAUGACCUGACAAUUCUAGACCAUUCUUUAUGGAUGUUUCUGAAAAAUCCGGCUCCAUUGCCGCCGUUCUUUUUCAGAAAAGAGAGGGGACAGGAGACAGACAAAUUUUGACAUAUGUAAGCUUUUCUCUUGAUCCAUUGGAAGCUAAACAGCCACCCUGUGCCAGGUAUGCUGCAGGUCUGACAAAAGUCAUACUCAAAAUCGAUCACAUUGUAAUGGACACCCAUACAGAACCCAGACUACUCCUCAGAUCUGCUUACGCAGUCGUGGCAGACGUUGGCCAACGGACUUAUUAUGUUCAGGAAGCAGACCUCAUCGGAGGUACACAGUCAGCCCAGUGGGCUGAACUCAUCGCUCUCACUAGGGUUCUAGAGAGGGCGGAUGGUUGAAGAGUCAACAUCUACACUGACUCAGCAUACGCUGCAGGCGUAGCGCAUGUGGAACUCCCAUGUUGGCUAAGAAAUGGGUUCGUAACAUCACCCGGAACCCCCGUUAAACAUCAAGACGACAUUACCAAUCUGCAUGCUGCCCUACUGCUCCCAAAACAGGUAGCGGUCAUUAAAUGCAAAGCACACACAGGAGGGACCUCCUAUGUGGACUUAGGCAACCAUGCAGCGGACGCUGCAGCGAAGAAGGCUGCAGGCUACAAAACUUCAAAUUAAGUGGUCACUGCAGAAAAAAAAAAAAAAAGAAGAAAUCACAAUCGACCUCAUCCUGAAAGACCAAGCAAAAGCCUCACCUGAAGAGAAAGCCGGCUGGUGUACUCUAGGGAAGGCAGUGAAAGACGACGCAGUCUCGUCCACCACAGGUUCCACCCUGUUCGAGCUGGAACACGGACAACCUCUUCCGGGACCAGGAACAGACCUGUCUCCGUUACAAGACCAGGUGAGUGUACUCCCAAAAACUUAUCUCGAGUCUCUCCAUGCUCUAGCUGCAGGAUUCCAGAUCCAGAGGAAAGACAACCCAGGCCCAUCAAUCCAACCUGAGCCAUGGGAGACGACUCGACGGUCCCCACCAGCAUUGGUGGUCCUGAAGUGGAAGUAGGCGGAGCCCAGAUGGAUGGGUCCAUUCAGAGUGACGGAGAGGACGUCUCAUGCGAUCCAGCUGGAGGGGACGGGUUCGACAUGGUUCAACUCAUCCCAGUGUGCCCCAGCACCAGACCUGGAGGAGUCGAGCCACCCAGCAGCCACGGAGGACCGCCAGACCAGGGAGCCAACCCCAGAGCCGGAGAUGAUGAGGUCCUUUGGACCUACCUAGGAUCACUCGUAAAGGGGAGACACGGUGCAAGACCGAUCUUCCCCGACGGCAGGAGACGGCGCUACAGGCGGAACCCGCCGGGUGUCCUCUGUUGCGGCCUUCUUCUGCUAGCAGCAAUCCCACCCCUACUGAUAUGGGCAUUGUAUGAGCCACGCACCACACAUGCAGUCCUGACAACCCAUGACGACCCCCCAAUGUCACACACUACACGCACAACUCCAUUCCUAUCUCCUGAUGAACCCACACUGCAUGACUUUGAACUGACACCGCAAAUCACACAUGGAGCUCACUCAGUCAGGAGACGAAGAAGUUCCCCCAUGGACCUGAACUCCAUCGCACUGAAUGCCAUUUGUGCACCUGGACAACCUGGACCGUGCAUUAUGCAACCUGAUAAUCAGCAUGUCACAUUCUUUAUUGACCUGUGCUUUACCUUUCGUUGCCCGAUGAGAGACGAUGCAGAGUACUAUCUGACCGUUCCCAACCACUCCUGGGACGAAGUGGUGGCUGACACAGAAUCGGACUGGGCCCCCACGUGCGACGGCGCUAGGUGAACCAGAAACGGUCGUAAGCAUCUACCCGAUGUCAAACUAUCGAAAGCUGUAACAGAAAUUGAAGGGUUUGGUUUGUUUGUUUCUGUUGAUACCUGUCAUCACAACAUCACGGACUGGGAGUCGGACAACCACUGGGGUAAAACUAGAAUUUUCAACGCCCUUAGUCCUGUGACCAGAGAGCUCGUGGUUGGGAGACCUGUUUGGUCGAUGGUUUGGGAAAUUCAAGGGGUUCUUCCUGGCAGUUGUCACAUUGAUCGGUGUUUUUCUUGCUCUUCUCAUUACCUGUUGUUGUUUCUGUGCUCCUUUGCUCAGAUCUCUUAUUGCUCGAAUGAUUGCGUCCAUGAUUGAGAAGAACUCACCCCCGUCCUAUCAGAUGUUGGUCACUGAUGAUGCUCCACCUUAUGUCACAUUGCCUGUUAAUGAUGUACCGCUUCCGCUGUAUUGUGAGAGUGAGGAAGGACACACUCUGCUGUAAAAAUGUAUGAGUGUAGUGAACCCAGCUUAGCUGGGUUCAAGAGAGGGAGUAUCAUUUUUCCUACUGCUGUGUGAUCGCAGGUUGACUGCGAUCAAGAGAGGGAAUUGUCGUAUAAUGCAUUUACAUUCUAACCACUAUGCUGUGAUCACUCGUUAAUCCACCAUAUAUAACCACAUUCUAAAUCAUUUUGCUGAGAUUCACUUGUUUAUAUACAGUUUUAAUCACAUUCUAAUGAAUAUGUACUGAUUCAACUGUUCACUAUAUUUUUACUUCAUAUAUACGUAUUCUGUGAUUGUUUCAUGAUUUUGAGGCCUUCAGUAUAACAGGCUGUGACUGAAAGCUCAUUCUGUGUGCAUUCUGACGGUCCCAGGCCGGUUUCAAGGUUAGGAGCAGGGAGUAGAUCUACUCCCUGUUCUCUCCCCACAUGAGAAAAGACCUGAUUAUUUCCUUCAAAGUACGUGUGACCUUCAUGAAACAAUUACUGUCUGUUGGUCUUCGAGAAAAACAACCCUGUGACAGUCAGAGUGUUAUCAGAAUGUAACUAUCAAUCAUAUGCAAACCCAACAGUAUAACUUCCCAAGCAGAGGAGAGAUCGGGGCCAUUUUCUGCUGGAGACUCUGAUGCUGUCAGAGCUCACGGACAUGGUCCAGGACUCCUGUUUUUCUUUUAUUGCUAGCAUUUAGGUUAUCUCCCUGUCUGAUCAACUUUCUAUUGAAUUAAAGAUCUUGUGCAGAGAC